rnacentral:rRNA from 1 species
UCCUACGGGAGGCAGCAGUGGGGAAUAUUGGGCAAUGGACGAAAGUCUGAUGGAGCAACGCCGCGUGAGUGAAGAAGGGUUUCGGCUCGUAAAGCUCUGUUGAUAGUGAAGAAAGAUAGAGGUAGUAACUGGCCUUUAUUUGACGGUAAUUACUUAGAAAGUCACGGCUAACUACGUGCCAGCAGCCGCGGUAAUACGUAGGUGGCAAGCGUUGUCCGGAUUUAUUGGGCGUAAAGCGAGUGCAGGCGGGUCAAUAA